UUCAGUUAAGUUCUUUCAAUAUUUACAGUACCCAAAACAAUUGAAAAUUGAAUCUCAAAAAUCACAUCAAAGUCUCCUACAAGGCCCAGGCAUUUCACACUUAGUCACAGAUAGGAUGUAGAAAAUACAAAGAAUUAUUAUUAUCCAAAUCUUAAUUUCUUUCGAGUUGUGUCAAUAGAUCAAUUUCGUCUCCAAAAAUAUCAUUAUGUACUUGCACCUCACAUAAAUUCCUAAGAGCAUAUCAAUCACUAAUCACUAAUAACUUUGAGCCAUUUUAACAACAAUUAAGACAUGCAAAUAUUACCAAGCACAUCUAUUUAUUUCAACCAAAGCUAAAACAGAUAUAGGACAUAUUAAUGUGACUGAGUCCCUCACAUGACAUUGCAAUUGUUUAGGAUAGAAAUCGACUAAGCAUACAUGAUGAAUCAAGAAUCUACGACACCCAGCUACGUAAAGAAACUGCAAAUAAGACUAUUCCAACUUUGUUUCCAUUUCAUCCUUCAAAUUUGACUUGACAUUGGGAGAGAUCAGGAAAGGUGUACCUGGGAAUGAACAGACAAAGGGAAAAGUGAGAAAUUGACAGUAUUAAGUGCAGAAAUCAGCACCAUCAACAGAACAACCCAGAUUCAACCAAAACUAGCAAGUCAAUCCAGAAGAAAGAAACCAAUCAAGUAAUUUAAACAAGAUAUUUAACUACCUAAGCUUAAAUUAUUUUUAACAUCAAAUAGAAUCAGAUGUUGUUCAUAAAUGAAAAACUUCAAAGUUCAAAGCAAAAAUUUCAAUGGAACAGUAUUUUCUCCAAAUUUUCAGUCGUUUGUCAUUUUUAGAAUUUUCUAUCUCUUCUUCUAUGCCUUGAAUGCCAUGUUAGAGUGCCUUUAUAGGCAAGGCACUAGGGAAACUUAAUGAGAAACAAAUCUUCACUUAGACCUCUUUUAAAAUUUGAUUUAAAUUUAGAAAACCUUAGGCAAUUUUCAAAAAUUCAAAAUAGUCCAAAAGUUAUCUUCCAAGAAGCUUCCCUUUCAGUUAUUCCCUAGAUUUCCUAAACCAAUUACCUAUAUUACCCUUUUAAAACCCAUGUUAAUUACCCCUGGACCAUGCAAGCAUAUGGGUCAGGCUGGCCCAAAGAACUAAGGCAGCCAUGUACUUGAUUGGAACACCGGAUUCUUGCUCAUUUGGGCUUUCUAUUUCUCAAAGCAGAUUCAAGCUGUAAUCUACAAUCAAAACUCUUAACAUGCUAAUGCACGAAAUCGCAGAAGAAGACCAUCAGUUCUUAAAAAUUAGACCUAAACUAAAAUCAACAUGCAAUGUACUAACUAAUCUUAAUGGGAGGAUAAAGCGAACAAACGAAACUUUUAAACAAACUAAAUCGUGCAAACGGAGUACAUGAGAACCAACAUGCAAGAUUGACGGAAAAGAAACAAAAAAUCAUAAAAGAAAUAACAUCCAGAAAAAGAGAAAGAAUAAGCAAACAAUGAAGCAGGAAUAGAAAUAAAUAUCAACAGACAAAAUAAAUGAUAAAAAAUGAAUCAAAUAUCUAGAACUGCUUUUGGUCCAACAAACAAAGAAAAGAGACUAAAAAUCUUCGAAUUUUUCGCCGCCCUUGAUUUUAAUCAUGUGUUCUUAACAAGACACACGAAUAACAUCAAGGUUAGCCCAAAUCUUCAAAAACCCAGUUCCAGGGCUUUGGGGAUUUUAGGGUCCACCCCUUCGAUCUGAAAUUUUAGGAGUUCCGGAGUGAUUCAAAGGAAAGUAUUGGUGGAUUUGGUAUGGAUGGGUCAUACGGAUUUCAGGGUGUGAGUUUCGUGGGGUUAGAAGGUGGUGCCGCCACCGGAGAAAGCUUAGUGGCGCUAGGGUUCCGCCCUUUGAUUCUAGAAUCUCGGCGGUUUCAAGGGGAUUCGAGGUAGAUAGGGUGGGGAUUUGGGAUAGGAGAUGAAAAGGGAUGUCUGGUGCGAUUUUUGGAUUGAUUGGCCACCGGCCUCCUCUGUACGCGAUUUCGGGCGGACGGUAGACCGCGGAUGGUGAUGUAUGGCAGAUUCUCUAAAGGGGACAGUGAGGGGCUGGGGGGGUAAGUAUUUUAAGACAUA
rnacentral:lncRNA from 1 species